rnacentral:rRNA from 1 species
GGUCAAGCGAAUAAGCGCACACGGUGGAUGCCUAGGCGGUCAGAGGCGAUGAAGGACGUGGUAGCCUGCGAAAAGUGUCGGGGAGCUGGCAACAAGCUUUGAUCCGGCAAUAUCCGAAUGGGGAAACCCACUGCUUCGGCAGUAUCCUGCAGUGAAUUCAUAGCUGCUGGAAGCGAACCCGGUGAACUGAAAUAUCUAAGUAACCGGAGGAAAAGAAAUCAACCGAGAUUCCCUAAGUAGUGACGAGCGAACGGGGAGCAGCCCUUAAGCUGGAAUGGCUUUAGAAAAACAAUCUGGAAAGAUUGGCCAUAGAAGGUGAUAGCCCUGUAUUUAAAAGGGCCACUCCAGUGAAGACGAGUAGGGCGGGGCACGUGAAACCCUGUCUGAAUAUGGGGGGACCAUCCUCCAAGGCUAAAUACUCCUGACCGACCGAUAGUGAACCAGUACCGUGAGGGAAAGGCGAAAAGAACCCCGGAGAGGGGAGUGAAAUAGAUCCUGAAACCGUGUGCGUACAAGCAGUAGGAGCUCGCAAGAGUGACUGCGUACCUUUUGUAUAAUGGGUCAGCGACUUACUGUUCGUGGCAAGCUUAACCGUAUAGGGGAGGCGAAGGGAAACCGAGUCUGAUAAGGGCGCAUAGUCGCGGGCAGUAGACCCGAAACCGGGUGAUCUAGUCAUGGCCAGGGUGAAGGUGCCGUAACAGGUACUGGAGGCCCGAACCCACGUCUGUUGCAAAAGACGGGGAUGAGCUGUGAUUAGGAGUGAAAAGCUAAUCGAACCCGGAGAUAGCUGGUUCUCCUCGAAAGCUAUUUAGGUAGCGCCUCGGACGAAUACUACUGGGGGUAGAGCACUGUUAUGGCUAGGGGGUCAUCGCGACUUACCAAACCAUUGCAAACUCCGAAUACCAGUACGUACUAUCCGGGAGACACACGGCGGGUGCUAACGUCCGUCGUGAAAAGGGAAACAACCCAGACCCACAGCUAAGGUCCCAAAUUCACUGCUAAGUGGAAAACGAUGUGGAAAGGCAUAGACAGCCAGGAGGUUGGCUUAGAAGCAGCCACCCUUUAAAGAAAGCGUAAUAGCUCACUGGUCGAGUCGGUCUGCGCGGAAGAUUUAACGGGGCUAAGCAGUGAACCGAAGCUUGGGGUGCAUAAAACUUGUUUUAUGCGCGGUAGAGGAGCGUUCCGUAAGCCUGCGAAGGUGGAUUGAGAAGUCUGCUGGAGGUAUCGGAAGUGCGAAUGCUGACAUGAGUAACGAUAAUGCGGGUGAAAAGCCCGCACGCCGAAAGCCCAAGGUUUCCUUGCGCAACGUUAAUCGACGCAGGGUUAGUCGGUCCCUAAGGCGAGGGCGAAAGCCGUAGUCGAUGGGAAGCAGGUUAAUAUUCCUGCACCUCGCGUGAGUGCGAUGGAGGGACGGAGAAGGUUAGGUGUACCGGGCGUUGGUUGUCCCGGGGAAAGGCGGUAGGUUUGGAUCUUUGGCAAAUCCGGGAUCCUUUAAGACCGAGCACCGAGACGAGCCUUUAUGGCGAAGUCACUGAUACCACGCUUCCAGGAAAAGCUCCUAAGCUUCAGCUCACGAAGACCGUACCGUAAACCGACACAGGUGGGUAGGAUGAGAAUUCUCAGGCGCUUGAGAGAACUCGGGUGAAGGAACUAGGCAACAUGGCACCGUAACUUCGGGAGAAGGUGCACCCUUUUUGGUGGCUCAUGCGAGCUAUAGCUGAAGAGGGUCGCAGAAACCAGGCCGCUGCGACUGUUUAUCAAAAACACAGCACUCUGCAAACACGAAAGUGGACGUAUAGGGUGUGACGCCUGCCCGGUGCUGGAAGGUUAAUUGAUGGGGUCAGCCGCAAGGCGAAGCUCUUGAUCGAAGCCCCAGUAAACGGCGGCCGUAACUAUAACGGUCCUAAGGUAGCGAAAUUCCUUGUCGGGUAAGUUCCGACCUGCACGAAUGGCGUAACGACAGCGGCGCUGUCUCCACCCGAGACUCAGUGAAAUUGAAAUCGCUGUGAAGAUGCAGCGUUCCCGUGGCAAGACGGAAAGACCCCGUGAACCUUUACUAUAGCUUUACACUGAACGUUGAGUUCGUCUGUGUAGGAUAGGUGGGAGGCUAUGAAACCAUGGCGCUAGCUGUGGUGGAGCCAUCCUUGAAAUACCACCCUGUCGUGCUUGACGUUCUAACCUAGAUCCGUUAUCCGGAUCAGGGACCGUGUAUGGUGGGUAGUUUGACUGGGGCGGUCUCCUCCUAAAGAGUAACGGAGGAGCACGAAGGUACGCUCAGCGCGGUCGGACAUCGCGCACUGUGUGCAAAGGCAUAAGCGUGCUUGACUGCAAGAUCGACGGAUCAAGCAGGUACGAAAGUAGGUCUUAGUGAUCCGGUGGUUCUGUAUGGAAGGGCCAUCGCUCAACGGAUAAAAGGUACUCCGGGGAUAACAGGCUGAUACCGCCCAAGAGUUCAUAUCGACGGCGGUGUUUGGCACCUCGAUGUCGGCUCAUCACAUCCUGGGGCUGUAGUCGGUCCCAAGGGUAUGGCUGUUCGCCAUUUAAAGUGGUACGCGAGCUGGGUUCAGAACGUCGUGAGACAGUUCGGUCCCUAUCUGCCAUGGGCGUUGGAAGUUUGAGAGGGGCUGCUCCUAGUACGAGAGGACCGGAGUGGACGAACCUCUGGUGUUCCGGUUGUCACGCCAGUGGCAUUGCCGGGUAGCUAUGUUCGGAAGCGAUAACCGCUGAAAGCAUCUAAGCGGGAAGCGCGCCUCAAGAUGAGACUUCCCGGGGCACAAGCCCCCUAAAGGAACCAUAUAGACUAUGUGGUUGAUAGGUCAGGUGUGUAAGUACAGCAAUGUAUUGAGCUAACUGAUACUAAUGAUCCGUGCGGCUUGACCAU